GACGAACGCUGGCGGCGUGCCUAAUACAUGCAAGUCGAACGCUGAAGGAGGAGCUUGCUUCUCUGGAUGAGUUGCGAACGGGUGAGUAACGCGUAGGUAACCUGCCUGGUAGCGGGGGAUAACUAUUGGAAACGAUAGCUAAUACCGCAUAAGAGUAGAUGUUGCAUGACAUUUGCUUAAAAGGUGCAAUUGCAUCACUACCAGAUGGACCUGCGUUGUAUUAGCUAGUUGGUGGGGUAACGGCUCACCAAGGCGACGAUACAUAGCCGACCUGAGAGGGUGAUCGGCCACACUGGGACUGAGACACGGCCCAGACUCCUACGGGAGGAAGCAGUAGGGAAUCUUCGGCAAUGGACGGAAGUCUGACCGAGCAACGCCGCGUGAGUGAAGAAGGUUUUCGGAUCGUAAAGCUCUGUUGUAAGAGAAGAACGAGUGUGAGAGUGGAAAGUACACACUGUGACGGUAUCUUACAAGAAAGGGACGGCUAACUACGUG
rnacentral:rRNA from 1 species